UACGUAGGGGGCAAGCGUUGUCCGGAAUCAUUGGGCGUAAAGAGCGUGUAGGCGGUUCGGUAAGUCGGCUGUGAAAGUCCAGGGCUCAACCCUGGGAUGCCGGUCGAUACUGCCGGACUAGAGUUCGGAAGAGGCGAGUGGAAUUCCCGGUGUAGCGGUGAAAUGCGCAGAUAUCGGGAGGAACACCUAUGGCGAAGGCAGCACGCUGGGACGUUACUGACGCUGAGACGCGAAAGCGUGGGGAGCAAACAGG
rnacentral:rRNA from 1 species